AAGUCGUAACAAGGUCUCCGUAGGUGAACCUGCGGAGGGAUCAUUACUGAGUGAGGGCCUUCGGGCUCGACCUCCAACCCUUUGUGAACACAACUUGUUGCUUCGGGGGCGACCCUGCCGUUUCGACGGCGAGCGCCCCCGGAGGCCUUCAAACACUGCAUCUUUGCGUCGGAGUUUAAGUAAAUUAAACAAAACUUUCAACAACGGAUCUCUUGGUUCUGGCAUCGAUGAAGAACGCAGCGAAAUGCGAUAAGUAAUGUGAAUUGCAGAAUUCAGUGAAUCAUCGAAUCUUUGAACGCACAUUGCGCCCCUUGGUAUUCCGAGGGGCAUGCCUGUUCGAGCGUCAUUUCACCACUCAAGCCUCGCUUGGUAUUGGGCGCCGCGGUGUUCCGCGCGCCUCAAAGUCUCCGGCUGAGCUGUCCGUCUCUAAGCGUUGUGAUUUCAUUAAUCGCUUCGGAGCGCGGGCGGUCGCGGCCGUUAAAUCUUUCACAAGGUUGACCUCGGAUCAGGUAGGGAUACCCGCUGAACUUAAG
rnacentral:rRNA from 1 species